rnacentral:rRNA from 1 species
UCCUACGGGGGGCAGCAGUGGGGAAUAUUGCGCAAUGGGCGAAAGCCUGACGCAGCGACGCCGCGUGGGGGAUGAAGGCCUUCGGGUUGUAAACCCCUUUCAGCAGGGACGAAGCGAAAGUGACGGUACCUGCAGAAGAAGCGCCGGCUAACUACGUGCCAGCAGCCGCGGUAACACGUAGGGCGCAAGCGUUGUCCGGAAUUAUUGGGCGUAAAGAGCUCGUAGGCGGUCUGUUGCGUCCGCUGUGAAAACUCGGGGCUUAACCCCGAGCCUGCAGUGGAUACGGGCAGACUAGAGGUAGGUAGGGGAGAAUGGAAUUCCCGGUGUAGCGGUGAAAUGCGCAGAUAUCGGGAGGAACACCGGUGGCGAAGGCGGUUCUCUGGGCCUUACCUGACGCUGAGGAGCGAAAGCGUGGGGAGCGAACAGGAUUAGAUACCCCGGU